UCCAAGUCAACAGUAAGUGUAUGGCUGAAAUGAAAGAAAAGCAAGUUAGUUUACAAAGAAAAGUAGAUGACUUACAAGCUGUCAUUGAACAUUUGAAGAGAGGAGAACCUGAGGUCGGGGAAAAUUCAGCUGCAAGGAGUGUCACUAAUAGAGCACAUCCUAAGUGUUUGCUUCUGGAUUAUAAUGGUACUGGUGAGA